CAAGGAAAUAAGGGCUUAAGGUGAAUACCUUGGCAUUCAGAAGCGAAGAAGGACGUGGUUACCGGCGAAACGCCUCGGGGAGUUGGAAACAAGCUUUGAUCCGGGGGUAUCCGAAUGAGGCAACUCUUUAAAACUUCUUGUUGAAUCUAUAGGCAAGAAAGAGCGAACCUGGAGAAUUGAAACAUCUUAGUAACCAGAGGAAUAGAAAGUAAAAACGAUUCUCUUAGUAGCGGCGAGCGAAAUGGGAACAGCCUAAACUUUUCAAAAUAAUAAAUAAAUAAUGAAAAGGGUAGUGGGACUAAACAGUAAAUAAAGAUAAAAAACAGCUAGGAGAAUAAACUGGAAAGUUUAACCGAAGAAAGUGAUAGUCUUGUAACCGAAAGCUCUGUUUUCUCUUAAGUUUUUUCCCAAGUAGCAUGAGGCACGUGGAAUCUCGUGUGAAUCUGCGAGGACCACCUCGUAAGGCUAAAUAUUCCUGAAUGACCGAUAGUGAACUAGUACCGUGAGGGAAAGGUGAAAAGAACCCCGGGAGGGGAGUGAAAUAGAACAUGAAACCUUAAGCUUACAAGCAGUAGGAGGACGACUUAUCGUUUGACUGCGUGCCUGUUGAAGAAUGAGCCGGCGACUUAUAGUUAGUGGCAGGUUAAGGUAGAGAAUACUGGAGCCACAGUGAAAGCGAGCUUUAAUAGAGCGUGUGUCACUAGUUAUAGACCCGAACCCGGAUGAUCUAACCAUGGCCAGGAUGAAGCCUAGGUAAUACUAUGUGGAGGUCCGAACCGACUGAUGUUGAAAAAUCAGCGGAUGAGUUGUGGUUAGGGGUGAAAUACCAAUCGAAUUCGGAGCUAGCUGGUUCUCCCCGAAAUGUGUUUAGGCGCAGCGGUUAAUAUUAUAGCUUAGAGGUAAAGCACUGUUUCGGUGCGGGCUGGUAAUUCGGUACCAAAUCGAGGCAAACUCUGAAUACUAAGUGAACAGUUAACCAGUAAGACUGUGGGGGAUAAGCUUCAUAGUCAAGAGGGAAACAGCCCAGAUCACCAGUUAAGGCCCCUAAAUAAUUAUUAAGUGGUAAAGGAGGUGGGAAGACUCAGACAGCCAGGAGGUUUGCUUAGAAGCAGCAAUCCUUUAAAGAGUGCGUAAUAGCUCACUGGUCUAGUAAUCCUGCGCCGAAAAUGAACGGGACUUAAAUAAUUUGCCGAAGCUGUGAGAUAUUUAUUACAAGUAAAUAUCGGUAGGGGAGCGUUCUGUUGUAGGUUGAAGCAUUAACGUAAGUGGGUGUGGACGAAGCAGAAGUGAGAAUGUCGGCUUGAGUAGCGAAAACAUUGGUGAGAAUCCAAUGCCCCGAAAACCUAAGGUUUCCCCCGGAAGGCUCGUCCGCGGGGGGUGAGUCAGGACCUAAGGCGAGGUCGAAAGACGUAGUCGAUGGACAAUAGGUUAAUAUUCCUAUACCGUUUUUUAUUGGCAACGAGGGACGAAGAAGGCUAAACUUAUCCAGAUAGUGGUCACUGGUCCAAGCAUUCAAGGUUAUGAGAAAUAGUGAAAAUAUUUUGAGCUGAGAUGUGAUGGGGAGAUACUUAGUAUUGAAGUAGUUGAUGUCAUGCUUCCAAGAAAAGCUUGCACUGUCAUAAAUAGAAAACGCCUGUACCCUAAACCGACACAGGUAGGUAGGUAGAGUAUACUAAGGGGCGCGAGAUAACUCUCUCUAAGGAACUCGGCAAAAUAACCCCGUAACUUUGGGAGAAGGGGUACCCUAUGGGUUGCAAUAACAAGGUCCAAGCGACUGUUUAUCAAAAACACAGGUCUCCGCGAAGUCGAAAGACAAUGUAUGGGGGCUGACGCCUGCCCAGUGCCGGAAGGUUAAAGAAGCUGGUUAGCAGUAGCGAAGCUAGUGACUGAAGCCCCGGUGAACGGCGGCCGUAACUAUAACGGUCCUAAGGUAGCGA
rnacentral:rRNA from 14 species